CUACGGGCGGCUGCAGUGGGGAAUUUUGCGCAAUGGGGGAAACCCUGACGGAGCGACGCCGCGUGCAGGAAGACGCCCUUCGGGGUGUAAACUGCUUUUCUCAGGGAAGAAUUCGUGACGGUACCUGAGGAAUAAGAGGUUGCUAACUCUGUGCCAGCAGCAGCGGUAAUACAGAGACCUCGAACGUUGUCCGGAUUCAUUGGGCGUAAAGCGUCCGCAGGUGGCUACGCAAGUCACGGGUCAAAUCCUGGUGCUUAACAUCAGGACUGCUCGUGAUACUGCAUAGCUUGAGGCUGGAAGAGGCACGUGGAACUAACGGUGUAGUCGUAAUAAGCGCUGAUAUCGUUAGGAACACCAAAGGCGAAGGCAGCGUGCUGGUACAUGCCUGACACUCAUGGACGAAAGCGUGGGGAGCGAAUCGGAUUAGAUACCCGUGUAGUC
rnacentral:rRNA from 1 species